GAUGAACGCUGGCGGCGUGCCUAAUACAUGCAAGUCGAGCGAACGGACGAGAAGCUUGCUUCUCUGAUGUUAGCGGCGGACGGGUGAGUAACACGUGGAUAACCUACCUAUAAGACUGGGAUAACUUCGGGAAACCGUAGCUAAUUCCGGAUAAUAUUUUGAACCGCAUGGUUCAAAAGUGAAAGACGGUCUUGCUGUCACUUAUAGAUGGAUCCGCGCUGCAUUAGCUAGUUGGUAAGGUAACGGCUUACCAAGGCAACGAUGCAUAGCCGACCUGAGAGGGUGAUCGGCCACACUGGAACUGAGACACGGUCCAGACUCCUACGGGAGGCAGCAGUAGGGAAUCUUCCGCAAUGGGCGAAAGCCUGACGGAGCAACGCCGCGUGAGUGAUGAAGGUCUUCGGAUCGUAAAACUCUGUUAUUAGGGAAGAACAUAUGUGUAAGUAACUGUGCACAUCUUGACGGUACCUAAUCAGAAAGCCACGGCUAACUACGUG
rnacentral:rRNA from 1 species